AGGGAUCAUUACAAGUGACCCCGGUCUAACCACCGGGAUGUUCAUAACCCUUUGUUGUCCGACUCUGUUGCCUCCGGGGCGACCCUGCCUUCGGGCGGGGGCUCCGGGUGGACACUUCAAACUCUUGCGUAACUUUGCAGUCUGAGUAAACUUAAUUAAUAAAUUAAAACUUUUAACAACGGAUCUCUUGGUUCUGGCAUCGAUGAAGAACGCAGCGAAAUGCGAUAAGUAAUGUGAAUUGCAGAAUUCAGUGAAUCAUCGAAUCUUUGAACGCACAUUGCGCCCCCUGGUAUUCCGGGGGGCAUGCCUGUUCGAGCGUCAUUUCACCACUCAAGCCUCGCUUGGUAUUGGGCAACGCGGUCCGCCGCGUGCCUCAAAUCGACCGGCUGGGUCUUCUGUCCCCUAAGCGUUGUGGAAACUAUUCGCUAAAGGGUGUUCGGGAGGCUACGCCGUAAAACAACCCCCAUUUCUAAGGUUGACCUCGGAUCAGGUAGGGAUACCCGCUGAACUUAAGCAUAUCAAUAAGCGGAGGAAAAGAAACCAACAGGAAUUGCUCUAGUAACGGCGAGUGAAGCAGCAAUAGCUCAAAUUUGAAAUCUGGCGUCUUCGACGUCCGAGUUGUAAUUUGUAGAGGAUGCUUCUGAGUAACCACCGACCUAAGUUCCUUGGAACAGGACGUCAUAGAGGGUGAGAAUCCCGUAUGCGGUCGGAAAGGUGCUCUAUACGUAGCUCCUUCGACGAGUCGAGUUGUUUGGGAAUGCAGCUCUAAAUGGGAGGUAAAUUUCUUCUAAAGCUAAAUAUUGGCCAGAGACCGAUAGCGCACAAGUAGAGUGAUCGAAAGAUGAAAAGCACUUUGGAAAGAGAGUUAAAAAGCACGUGAAAUUGUUAAAAGGGAAGGGAUUGCAACCAGACUUGCUCGCGGUGUUCCGCCGGACUUCUGACCGGUCUACUCGCCGCGUUGCAGGCCAGCAUCGUCUGGUGCCGCUGGAUAAGACUUGAGGAAUGUAGCUCCCUCGGGAGUGUUAUAGCCUCUUGUGAUGCAGCGAGCGCCGGGCGAGGUCCGCGCUUCGGCUAGGAUGCUGGCGUAAUGGUCGUAAUCCGCC
rnacentral:rRNA from 1 species